GUACUCGCUUUGGCAGCACAUGUACUAAAAUUGGAACGAUACAGAGAAGAUUAGCAUGGCCCCUGUGCAAGGAUGACAUGCAAAUUCGUGAAGCGUUCCAUAAAAAU
rnacentral:snRNA from 1 species